UGCGAGUCGAACGAUGAUCCGGUGCUUGCACCGGGGAUUAGUGGCGAACGGGUGAGUAACACGUGAGUAACCUGCCCUUAACUCUGGGAUAAGCCUGGGAAACUGGGUCUAAUACCGGAUAUGACUCCUCAUCGCAUGGUGGGGGGUGGAAAGCUUUAUUGUGGUUUUGGAUGGACUCGCGGCCUAUCAGCUUGUUGGUGAGGUAAUGGCUUACCAAGGCGACGACGGGUAGCCGGCCUGAGAGGGUGACCGGCCACACUGGGACUGAGACACGGCCCAGACUCCUACGGGAGGCAGCAGUGGGGAAUAUUGCACAAUGGGCGCAAGCCUGAUGCAGCGACGCCGCGUGAGGGAUGACGGCCUUCGGGUUGUAAACCUCUUUCAGUAGGGAAGAAGCGAAAGUGACGGUACCUGCAGAAGAAGCGCCGGCUAACUACGUGCCAGCAGCCGCGGUAAUACGUAGGGCGCAAGCGUUAUCCGGAAUUAUUGGGCGUAAAGAGCUCGUAGGCGGUUUGUCGCGUCUGCCGUGAAAGUCCGGGGCUCAACUCCGGAUCUGCGGUGGGUACGGGCAGACUAGAGUGAUGUAGGGGAGACUGGAAUUCCUGGUGUAGCGGUGAAAUGCGCAGAUAUCAGGAGGAACACCGAUGGCGAAGGCAGGUCUCUGGGCAUUAACUGACGCUGAGGAGCGAAAGCAUGGGGAGCGAACAGGAUUAGAUACCCUGGUAGUCCAUGCCGUAAACGUUGGGCACUAGGUGUGGGGGACAUUCCACGUUUUCCGCGCCGUAGCUAACGCAUUAAGUG
rnacentral:rRNA from 1 species